AGGCAUCAUGGAGUGAAGAAUGUU
rnacentral:piRNA from 1 species